rnacentral:rRNA from 1 species
AUUGAACGCUGGCGGCAGGCCUAACACAUGCAAGUCGAGCGAGCGGCGGACGGGUGAGUAAUGUCUGGGAAACUGCCUGAUGGAGGGGGAUAACUACUGGAAAAGGUAGCUAAUCCCGCAUACCAUCAGAUGUGCCCAGAUGGCAUUAGCUAGUGGGUGGGGUAACGGCUCACCUAGGCGACGAUGCCUAGCUGGGCUGAGAGGAUGAUCAGCCACACGGGAACGGAGACACGGUCCAGACUCCUACGGGAGGCAGCAGUGGGGAAUAUUGCACAAUGGGCGCAAGCCUGAUGCAGCCAUGCCGCGUGUGUGAAGAAGGCCUUCGGGUUGUAAAGCACUUUCAGCGGGGAGGCGUUACCCGCAGAAGAAGCACCGGCUAACUCCGUGCCAGCAGCCGCGGUAAUAC